rnacentral:lncRNA from 1 species
UAUUUUAUAAAUUUUAUUUACCUAUUCAAUUUAUACAUAUAAAGAUAAUAAAGUUUUUAUCUUAUCCAAAUCAUAAAAAUUUAAAAAAGCUAUUUUCAUAUCUUGAAAUAUUCAUGUAACAUAUAUACAUAUAAGCGAUGAUUGCAUUAUUUCCUUGUACAUGGUAGCAUCACAUUUGUUAUACCUUAAGUUUUCUUUCUUUUAUAUAAAAUAACAAGUAGAAAAUAGCGAUGAAGGUUUUCUUAUCACUAUUUUUGCAAAUAAAUAAAAGCAAUAUUUUCUUAAACUAAACAUAAGGACUAUCUUCGAAUAGGAUCUGAAGGAUGCCUAACACCUUCCCCUCGAGUAACCAAAACCCUUAUUCAGAAUCUCAAAAUAUUUUCGAUAGACCAAAACAGAGUUUUUUACAUAAAAAAUAGUUUUUCCUAAUUUUCCUAAAAAGUUAGGUGGCGACUCUAAAAAAAUGAAUUUUCAAAACCCAAGAGUCACAUUAAACACAUAGCUACCAUAUGUUGUGUGCUAUUUCAACCGGUUUUAAAUAGGACGCGACAGAGAGUACAUGCAAAUAUUUCAUUACUGAACAUGCUAAACAUGCAAUAUUGUGCAUAUCACGUCUGUUUGAAUUAGACUGAAACUGAGGUAAUGAGUUCUGAUAACUGAAUACUAAUAGCUGAAAGUUUAGACUGAUACUGAAGUACUGAUUUCUUAUGGCUAAGUAACUGAUAACUGAUAGCCAUAGUUCUAUAGAACUGUCUGAGUUGUUUACUGAAUACUGAGACUUAAGCUGUAACUAUGGGAGUGUUCAUGUAACAGACAUACCCUGAUUAUAAACUGAGUUGGGGUCCAACCUGUGACCCCAGUUGGAAGGGUAUUAGUACAUUGCCAAGGAAUACUAACAAUGUUGGGUCAACCCUAAUCUGGCAGGAUGACUCAUAAAAUAUAUAUGAUUGCCUCAACCCUAGUCUGGCAGGAGAACGACUUACCCUAUGCUGUCUAUGUAGUUCUGUAAUGUAGGGACUGCUACUAAGGGUCAAAUCCUCUGUUGGCCGGAAUACCCCUAUCCCAGGGUUUACUCGAUGUUGAAUCAUACUCUUAACUGAAUCGACACUGAAUGAGACUGAAACUAACACUAAUCGUGUUGACUGACUGAACUGGACUGAGUUAACUGCGUUCUAUUACUGACUGAGUACUACUAUUCUUGAACUUUACUGGGACUGUUCUAUAACUACUACAACUAAGUAAACAACUAGAUUUCGGGUAAUAAAUACCCCCAGGACUCGAUAACAUCAAUAAUAAAGUGUGACAACUUUCUCGAUAACAUCAAUAAUAAAGUGUGACAACUUUUGAAAGCAUAGCAAUAGUCAGUUGUUCACAAUUCAUUCAUUGAGGCAUUUAGUCAAACAUUUGGAGGUCAUGAACUUGUACAUGAAUGGAACACAUGCUAACACGUCAUGAUUUCACAAUUCAAUUCACAUGGACAUUCUAUCAAACACGUGGGGAGCAUGAUUGUGAUACAUGAAGAAUAACAUAUAGGGCAUCAUAACUUCAACAUGUAAUCCUGAAAAUUCAAGGGUUUUAUCAUGAGAGAUUCAUAAUUCAACACAUAUGCUAAAAAAAUUUCAUGGAAACUCAUAAAAUAACUUAACUUGAAACCCAUACAACAACACAAACAUGGGCAUAAUUCAAUUCAAAGCAUGGGAAUCAUAAUUUAAGUUUUUGAAAAGGGUUCUUGAACUCCAAGGGUGAAAGGAAACCCAAGGAUAAACUCCUAACAUACCCUGAUUGUUAAUUUUGUGAAGAUUGUGGUGACUUCUUGAGACUUGCUUCUUGAUAUUGAUGAAACUAGCGCUUGCUCCUGAGAGGAUUUUGAGAAUAAAGAAUGUAAUUUGCCCUUUGGGGAGUUAAAUCUUAUGUUUUAUCUUAAUUGGGUUAAGGUAAAAGGACCUAAAUACCCUAAAAACCCCAUAACUUAACACACAAAACUGGCCUAGCAAUGUGACACCCAACACACCGUGUCGAUGGGUGCAACGUGGUAGCCAACGCGACGCAUCAAGAUCGCUUUGGCUUGCUAUUUUGCCCAACCAAAUACGACCCAAACGAAGUUCAAAAAUUUUAAAAAUCACCCAAUAUGACCUAUUGACAUCCCUGACCAUGAAUCAACUUGAAAAUCCACAUUCUAAGUUCGAAAAGGUCUAAAAUAAGAUCAUCCAAUUUUGAAGGCUAAAAAUGUUUUUAAGUCUUAACACUUAGCUGAAUUUUUCUCAGUCUGGGACCCCUUUUGGCAUGCUACAUAGAACUGAAAUAGUUAGAAUUUUGCGGGGUCUUAUAGUUGAUCUGCUAGGUUAUUAUCUUUUCCUUUAAUAUGUUCUAGCACAAUGUUAUAAAUUGAACUGGCGUCGACAAAAUUUAACCACCUCC